GCAGACACAUUCCAGCAAAUCAGCAGCAGUCCCUCCCUCCCAGACCCUCCCACCUCCUGGACAGCAUCCAUUGUGAAGCUGCAUUCUUAGUGAGCUGUCCAGGAGGUGGGAGGGUCUGGGAGGGAGGGUCUGCUGCUGAUUGGCUGGAAUGUGUCUG
rnacentral:miRNA from 1 species